GAGUGAAGAGGGACAAGCUCAAAUUUUAAAUCUAUCGGGUUUUACCCGAUCGAGUUGUAAUUUGAAGAAGCGUUUUCUGCGUUUUUGGUCAGCCCAAGUCCUAUUGAAUGAGGCAUCAUGGAGGGUGAUAAUCCCGUCCGGUUGAUCAUUUGCGUUUUACGAUACGCUUUCUAAGAGUCAAGUUGUUUGGGAUUGCAGCUUAAAAUGGGAGGUAAAUUUCUCCUAAGGCUAAAUAACGGCGAGAGACCGAUAGCGAACAAGUACCGUGAGGGAAAGAUGAAAAGAACUUUGAAAAGAGAGUUAAACAGUACGUGAAAUUGUUGAAAGGGAAACGAUUGAAGCCAGUCGUACCUUCGGGUAAUCAGCCUUUCGGGUGCGAUUCUGUGGAGUGUGAGGAGCUUAACACCUUCAUGCUUUGCAUAUUUGUGCUCUUGGGUGUACUUGCCCGUGUGGUUGGUUAACAUCAAUUUUGGUUAUCAUAAAAUGAUUGGAGGAAUGUAGCUUCGAUCUCGUAUUGAAGUGUUAUAGCCUUCGGUAGAUGUGAUGAUCGAGAUUGAGGAUUGCAACGGAUACCCUUCGGGGCUACCUGUCUGGUCUCUGAUCGUUGCUCUGGUGCCGAAAGCUUGCUUACGGUUAUCAAAGUCGAUGGUCAAUAGGUUAGAACGGGUUAAAUUCGUUA
rnacentral:rRNA from 1 species